GGGGGCAUAGCUCAGCUGGGAGAGCGCCUGCCUUGCAAGCAGGAGGUCACGAGUUCGAUUCUCGUUGUCUCCA
rnacentral:tRNA from 1 species